GGAGGCGUUUCUCGUCUGGUGACGGGCGCGGUCCUCAAAACCGUAGGGACCCAGUCGCUGGGUCCGGCGGGUUCGAUUCCCGUCCGCCUCCGCCA
rnacentral:tRNA from 1 species